UCUCCUGCCUCAGCCUCCCAAGUAGCUGGGAUUAUAGGCGCCCACCACCAUGCCUGGAUACUUUUUUUUUUCUAUUUUUAGUAGAGACGGGGUUUCGCCAUAUUGGCCAGGCUGGUCUCCACCUCCGGUGAUCCGCCUGCUUCUGCCUCCCAAAGUGCUGGGAUUACAGGCCUGACGCAACGCGCCUGGCCUGAAGAAUCUUUUCAAAUGCAACAGGGAGAGGGAUAGUUGUAUCAGAAUGUUUUCAACUAAAACCACCACCUGGAGUGCCAAACUGCAACGGGGACCUAGACAGAUUCAGAUUGUGCCACUGGAGCCCUGGAAUUGGAUUGCUGGAUAGACUCACUGUGUUAAUUUAUUUAAUCUUGGAUCAAGAUGGGGCCUCACUCUGUCACCCAGGCUAGAGUGCAGUGGUGCGAUCACAGCUCACUGCAGCCUCAACUACCCGGGCUCAAGUGAUCCUCCUGCCUCAGCCCCACAAGCAGCUGGGACCACAGGUGAGCUUCAUCCAAUCAGCUGAAGAUGUUAAAAGCAAAAACUGAAGUUUCCUAAAGAAGAAGGAAUUCUGCCUCAAGACUGUAUCAUAGAAAUCUUUCCUGAAUUUUCAGCCUGCUGGCCUGCUCUAUGGAUUUUGAACUUGCCAUCCCCCACAAUCAUCGAGUUCAGAACAUAAGCUCCUCUUCAAAGUAAACACAGGCCCAUGAAAACUUGACAGAAAAGGAGUGGAGGAUGUGAACUGGAUAGAUAUGGGAUAAAGUAAUAAAAGUGAGAGGGAAGGAAGUUGAGUUACAGAUGGUUAACUCCCACUUGUAUGUCCCGUGCUGGUGAAGUAAUACCAGGUGUACAUCAACUGUUAUGGGAAUGAGGUGGAAACAAGGGUCUUUGAAUAGAGGUGGGGGGAGCAAACCUCUGCUAAAGUAGACACAGAGAUCAGAAGCAACGAAGUCAAAGCUGCUUCCCACCAAGCUGUGUGGUCCCAGAUCAAUAAAUGUCCACAGGACAAAAGCAGUGCCAACUGUGGGGCUCACCUUCCUGGAUUCCUGUCUUCUUCCUAGAUCUUGGUCCGUGAAACAACCUAGUGAGAUCCAGUACAGCUUCCAACUUAUAUUAGACCAACUUUCCUCCCUAUGACAUUAAUAGCUGGGGUAUGGAGCUGUCAGAGUGAUACGUAAACUCCAAUCAGAUCACCAACUGGCCUCAGAAAUGCACACAUACAAGCCAGCUGUUUUGAUUGGUGAGAUUUGACAUUCUUUCUAGGCUGUCUCCUCUAUGCAAAAUGCUGGUGGAAACCAUGAUGUGCUUGCUCAGGCCCCACAACUUCCCAUCCUCUGCCUGGAAGUCAGUGAGAUACUUUAGCUGUUGGAGAUUCCAAGAUUGCCAGAUGUUACUGCUGUAAAAAGAUGGGGACAAAGGAAUGCUACUUAACUCUGCUGCAUUACAUGUUACUCAAGCCCGUAAAAUUCAUGCAGCAAAUGCUUUUGGUGUUCUGCUUUGGAUCCCCCAGCACUCACCCACGCACCGGCUGAUAGCUUCCUACUCUGACAACUCUGAACUAAAUUCAGCCCUGGGUGCUUUUUCCACUAUUAUGUUUGCUCCAGUUCCUGCUGCCAUUGUUGUAAAUAAAGGAUGCAGGUUUUACACAGCAGAGUGAACCUCUCACCUGCAAGUAGUGUAUCCUUGCCAGUGCUUUGAGAUAUGCAACUGCUGGGCUCUUGCUACUUUGCUUAUGUGGUUUCAGCCCAAUCUCAGUCCUGUUCAUCCUAAUUUCUGACCCCAUUUUUGCAAACAGCAGGUAUAACUUUUCCAUUUCUGAUGAGUCCCAUAUCUCUGGAACUGUAUGUUUUUGCUGGCACAUUAUGAACUAUGCUGUUGCUGGGCUUUUUUUUUUUUUUUUUUUUUUUUUUUUUUAACUUUCUGUACUUCUUUUUCUUUCUCACACUAGUUUAUACCUGAUUUCAGCUACUUUUGGCAACCCCUAUACAUAUUCUGGAGAUUGAAAAUGUUAUCUGUCUCCUAGUUGUGUUAAAAAUGUAGGCUGGGUGCAGUGGGUCACGCCUGUAAUCCCAGCACUCUGGGAGGCCGAGGCGGGCGGAUCACCUGAGGUCAGGAGUUUGAGACUAGCCUGGAGAACAUGGUGAAACCCGUUUCUACUAAAAAUACAAAAAUUAGCUGGGCAUGGUGGCGGGCACCUGUAAUCUCAGCUACUCUGGAGGUUGAGGCAGGAGAAUCGCUUGAACCCAAGAGGCGGAGGUUGCAGUGAGCUGAGAUUGCACUGUUGCACUCCUCCCUGGGCAACAAGAGCAAAACUCCUUCUCAAAAAGAAAAAAAAAAUUGGAGUUUGCAGGAUAUUUUAUUCUACUCAUUCUCAAUGUCUCCUUGCAAGAGGACAAAGGGUGACACCUUGACUUAUGCAGCUAUGUUCAUACCAGAAAUUUUGGGAGUUGUAUCAUUCAGGGUGCAUACAGAGACAAGAAUUAUACCAAUUAUUUCAUAAGAAACAAUCUUAUGUAAAGAAAAGACAAAAGAGAGAGUGAGGUAUCCCAGAGCCAACAGUGACAGAAAGAAGCUACUACUCCUUUUGCUGAGGGUACAAAGAGAAGGAUUUGGGAUUCAUAAAACCUUAAGGUGUAAAUGAGCAGUCCUUGUAGAUUUGGGACUCAAACUCUGAGAUGGAGGGACACUUUUUGGCUGGUACUUGUACCUCAAGAAUUUGGAAUACAGUUCCAUGAUGGUGGGACUCAGACUUCUGAAUGAUUGAUAGCUGCUUGACUGGAGCUGGUGUCUCUGGUCUUACAAGAGGAAACCCUUGGAACUAGGACGGACUUCUGAAGAGGUAUUGGCUGGUUGGUGUUGGCGGCUCUAGGGGACUGGGCGUGGGGGUGAGGAAAUGACUAUUUUGUUAGUGUGGGAAAAAUGCAAAUUGGAAGAAACAAGUAAACUGGAAUCAACUGGUGCUCUUAGUUGAUGAACCAUUGCUGUAGUGACACUGAUAGAAUCAGGGAAUAAACAGGAAGGAGCAAAUCCUUUGUUCCUCCUUCAGGCUCCCAGUCUCACAAUAGUGCAGAGUCUCACACAUUGGCAGAGAGGAACAGGGAACCAGCGCCAUCAAGCAAAGGACAGAGUCUGGGUUUGAAAUUAUGGGACAGCAGUUCAGUGUCCUUUUCAGGUAAAAACACAUAGCUUUCUUUAAUUCUGACAAAAUCUGCAUUUUUGUUCUUUAGCUACUUUAUUCUCACUUUCUUCUGUAGAUUAAGUUUGGCACUUCUGGAUGUAUUCUCCAUGGUCUUUAUCCUUUUACACUGUGUGCUUUUUUAGCUUCAUCUUCUAACUCACUAAUUUGCAUUUCAACCGUAUCCAAUUAGGUAGUUAAUAACUAAAUUUUUUGAUUUCAAUAAUUUGUUUUCAUUUCUAAGGCCUCGGAUGUAUUCUUUUUCAUAUCUGUUCUUGUUUUAUGGGUACAAUAUCCCUCCUCAUCUUUCUGAUAUAAUAUCUUUAUUUUGGAGUGCUGGGCCUUAAUUUUUUUUGCCUUAGAAGUUUCUUUUUUUUUAGAUUAGAAAAAAUAUAGCUGGAAAUAUGCUGCUAGAUACUGAAUGCAUAUUUUGACCAACUCAAAUGCAAACAUGUCCUUGCAAAAUUCACCAGUUGGCCAAGUUAAAAAUCUGCCUAUUUCCCAAUAGAAUCUCACAUCAGUAUUCUCCUUAGCAAAUGUAUUUGAUGAAUGAAAAACAGUGACUAGGGCUGGGUGUGGUGGCUCAUGCCUGUGAUCACAGCACUUUGGGAGGCCAAGGCGGGUGGAUUGCUUGAGCCCACAAGUUUAAGACCAGCCUGAACAACAUGGCAAGACCCCGUCUCUACAAAAAAUAAAAAUUAGUUGGGUGUGGUGGCAUGGGCCUAUAGUCCCAGCUACUGGGGGGCUAAGGUGGGAGGAUUGCCUGCGUCCUGGAGGCGGAGGCUGCAGUCCUCACUGCACUCCAGCCUGGGCAACAGAGCAAGAUGCUAUCUCAGAAAAGAAAAGAAAAACUGUGACUCAGAAGGGUGGGGGCUGCUGGCUAGGGCAGACUUUAGAUGCUGUCCAUAGCUUUGAACUUGCCGAAGGCCUGCAUGGGACUCAUAUACUUCUCUUACUGGCAUUUGAUGGAGAUCACAUGGGAUGCCUUCACUGUUUGUACCACGAUGUUCAUCGUACAAACACAAUGUUCAGCAAUUCCUUGGCUGCUGGAUUGGGGUUACUGUGCUGUCCAUCCUGGAGAUGACAAGCUCCUCACUGAGGUUAUGAACCAUGGCCGUGAUUUUGCUGCAGAUGUUGAGGUGGUGGCAGUAGAGGGUGAUGUGCUGCAGGUGGGCUAGCAAGUGCGGCUUGCAGGCUGAGUCUGAGCAGUAGUUUGUAACGAUAAAGUUAAGCUGAUCCAUCCUAGAUCUUGUCUUAGCAAUUUUCUUGGCUGCACUGAUCUUGUUUGAUGAAUUUUUGAGCAGUCCUUCACAUUGGGUAAAGUCAGUCAUCUCUCUCAUUAGCAUGUACAUUACCAUAAGUCUGCUUGGCCAGCAUGAUGAUGUCAUUGCCACUGUUAUCCCAUUUGGACAUGUCAGCAUCCAGAUUGCUCUUUUGUUCUUCUUCUAGUUGUCUGACUAAGUCAUUUUACUCAACAAUAAAUUGCAUUUAUUGUCUGUC